CGAUUGGUAGAUAGUCUCAGGAACUUAUUUGGAUGUCUGUAGGUGCAUGAGUUAUGGUGAAAGGUGGUGUUGGUUAGAAAGUCAGUAAAAUUCUAAGUGUUAGAGUUUUAAGAGUAGAGUGUUAGUCUCAGAUGUUUUCCUGGGUUUCUCUGCAUGUCCGAGUUGGAGUCCCCAAACUUCCAAUUCCUCUUCUGUCUCCUUCUCUCAACUCCCUUUGUCUUAACUUUUAAAGGGCCAGACUCUCUGUACGUCAUUAGUUGAUAACCCAAUAGAAACACCGGGGGUGUG